AAAACUUUCAAAAAACACAAAUAGCUGCUGAAAAAAUAGAUCAGACUAUGCAUGGCAAUUAGGUCGCUCAGCCAGGCUUGACGACGGACCGUCGACUCACCUGGCAUGAAAUGCAUGUGCUGCCUACGGGCACAAAGGGAUCAUCUCAAAGACAUAUCAUGCUUUUUCA